ACUUAGCUAGCCUCGCAAGAGGAAGGAUGUGUCCACCUUCUCAGUUACCACUAAUAGCAUCCUCUGUCUUUGCUUGAUGUAGAAUCUUUUAGAUCAUGACUAAAGCCUGGACAAGCUUCUCUGGAACCAAUGACAGGGAGUCCUUCAAAGUGAGUGCUCUGGCCCAUGGUGGGAUUUGAUUUAUCUUACCGAAUCAGCUUGUCACAAGUCUAAAUUAUUCAUUUCUUGGCCAGAGUGACAAGCCAUAGAACACUUGUUUGCAGCCACCUGAUUUCUACUGGACUCACAGCAUCAAAGGAGCAAAGAAACAUUUGUCCUGAUUGAAAGCUGAGUCACAUAGAGAGGGGUCGAAGGACUGAAUGGAAAUGAAGAGGUAAACAUGAAAAUGAAAAUGUUGAGAAGGCUGGUAUUGGAUGCCUGGAGCUCACGUGCUGACUGCAAGCAGAAUGGAAGAUAUUGAGGACGUUACUGGGGAGAGAAGAUAAUGGAGAAGGUGGAAAAGCUCCAGGGAAAUAAGACUUGAUUUCAGGACUCCUCUGGUGCUGAGAGUUGAUUGGCUACAGUCAGUCUACAGCCUUGCUUUGCGGGUGGUGGAGAGAAUAUCAAGACCUAGGCUCCCCUGAUCUCCCUGCAUCCCCGUCGUUUUUGGCAAUGUCGCUAAUCGGCCCAGCAGCCUGAAUCCACACGUCCCAGCGUCCAGGUUCUGCAAGGUGCAGCUGGUCUCGGGCCCUGUCUCAGAAUACAGAAGUAAUCAGAAUUUAUUCACGUGGCUGACUGAGAGUUUUGACACCAAAGGGCAAUCCUGUCUGAUUGAUACCACUCAAACGGCAAUAUUGUUUGAAGAAAUGUAGUUAGAGAGAUGGCAAUUUAAAGGCUGUAAGAAGUUACAGGAAAAAGGUUUGCGAAUAGAGACUUUAAAUUACUCCUGUACCCUUGGCCCCAAGGAAGGCUCUCCAGACAGAAAGUUGCCUGCAAGUCCUGGUGCUAGAUUUUGAGUAUGACACUGCUCUUCACUACUCUGUCCCAAGAAAUCCAGCAUUGCCCAUGGCAUACCUUCUGAAGAAAGACUUUGGGGUAAAGAAACUACAAAAAUGUAGGUGGGGGAGUAUUAAGAUUUGUAAUAGUCACUUAAGAAUCCUCAACAUGUUUUUUUCAUUGGCUAAAACCAAAACAAGGUAAUACACGACACCUGUGAUCACGCUAAAACUAAAAGUCACAGGUGCCCCACUGUUAAAGCAAGAGGUCACGCAGCAGGGGCGUUCCUGUGGGUGCGCGGCCUGGGAGACUAACAGAGAAGAAUCACCCAGGAGGUAAAACAGCACAGCAUUCAAAGAGCAAGAGGCACACAAGUCCAGGUGGAAACUGCCAGUGAAACAGUCUUCUCAGAAUGCCCGGAUUUUAGAGAGCACAACUGGGAAGUUACUGUGAGUUGGAGACCUCAUCAGCCUCCUUCCUUGUCUCUGCCCUUUCUGACCUUCUUGCAUCAGCCAUCCGUGCCACACUGAGUGCUGGGCCUGGGGGGAUAAGAUGGGGAAUAUACGCACCCAGUUUCUGUCCUUAGGGGGCUUAGAGAAGAAUGAGGAUGAGAGAUAAACCCAAGUAAAUAGCAUACAAAUAGCAUAAUUGCCAACUGUGAUAAAGCACUGUGAAGAAAGCAAUUAAAGUUCUGAUUGGAAGGUAACAGGAGUGUAAACUGCCUUUCCUAGGGUGGUCAGGAAGUGUUUUGGAUGGACUAACAUAUAAGCAGAGAUCUGUAAGGAGCAGGGAGGAUUUUUUUUUUUUUUUGAGACGGAGUUUCGCUCUUGUUACCCAGGCUGGAGUGCAACGGCGCGAUCUCGGCUCACCGCAACCUCCGCCUCCUGGGUUCAGGCAAUUCUCCUGCCUCAGCCUCCUGAGUAGCUGGGAUUACAGGCACGCGUCACCGUGCCCAACUAAUUUUUUUGUAUUUUUAGUAGAGACGGGGGAGGAUUUUAAAGUUUGCAGCGGGUAGAGAGGUUGGGGAAGUACUGAAAGAAAGCAGUGUGGUUGGAGAACGGAACACAACUGCAACAAGGAAACAAAAUGGAAUCAAAGACAAGAGAAGGUUUGCCGUCAGACGUGGUGACGAGUUCAGUUUGAUCCCUCACCCUCUAUCUUCAUGAUCUCUUCAGACCUCCUCGACUUCCCUUGGAAAGCCCUGGCCUCUUUGAAUUACAGGUUCUCAGUGCUCCAGGUGCAAUUCUCGCUGCCACCAAUUAAUCGUGUGAUUCAUGGUGACCUUGAGGGAAACAACCUUCCUCAUUAAUCUUGGGAUCCCUGGUAUUUGUCAUAUGGCCCAGCAUGUAGGAAAGGAAGCUAAUUUUCGGCUCUCUGGUGUCUUGGAUCACCCUGAGGAAGAAACUAGAAGAGAAGUUGUAGAGGAUGGUAGUCACAGCAAAUAUCUCUCCUGGAAGAGGACCUGCAAACUGUGAUGGUGGGUGUUCGUCAGGAUCCUAGGGAGGAACAGGACUAAUAGGAUAUAUGUAUAUAUUCAAGGGAGUUUAUUAAGGAGAACUGACUUAUGUGAUCACAAGGUAAGGUCCCACAAUAGGCUGUCUACAAGCUGAAGAGCAAGGAAGCCUGUGGUGGAUUGGUCUGAAUCCCAACACUUCAAAAGUAGGGAAGCCAACAGUGCAGCCUUCAGUCUGUGGCCAAAGGCCGAACAGCUCUUGGCAAACCCCUGGUGUAAGUCCAAGAUUCCAAAAGCUGAAGAACUUGGAGUCUGGUGUUCGAGGGCAGGAAGCAUCCAGCAUGGGAGAAAGAUUACGGCCAGAAGACUCAGCAGGUCUGCUCUUCCGUCUUCUCCUGCCUGCUUUAUUCCAGCCUGGCUGGCAGCUGAUUAGAUGAUGUCUACCCAGAUGGAGGGUGGGUCUGCUGCUCGCAGUCCACUGACUCAAAUGUUAAUCUGCAUGGCAGCAUCCUCACGGGCACACCCAGGAACAAUACUUCAAAUCCUUCAGUCCAAUCAAGUUGACACUCAGUAUUAACCAUCACAGUGGGGGAGGGGCCACAGCUGCAAAACCUGCCGCGGAGAUCUACCAGCUCCUGAAGCUCCUGGUCACAGCCAGCAGAAGGCAUUUAGGGGUCAACUGAACACUGCCUCUAGAUCUGCCAGCAGCAGGACUUUGGCAUGCUUUUUUGUGAUAGUAAAAUUUUUGCUGUAAUUGAAACUGCUAUAGAAAAAGCAGGCCUUGGGACUCAAUUGUGCUGCAAUGAAAGAUCAUAAUUUUAAAAAACUCAAGUCUAAUAGAAACGAAGUAGGAGUGUAGGAUCUCACAAAAGCUCUAAUUUUGCAUAUAAAUAAGAUAGCAAAGCAGUUCUCUACAAAAAUACUUUCAUGCUAAUAAAAGAGAUUGUUUUACAAGGCAAAGAUUGCCAGUGACACAUUAAAAAUGAAGAAAUUAAAAAAUUUAUCAUAUGUCCAUUUUAUAGUUUCCAGGAUAGAGCCUAGAACCAUUCCUGACAGAAAGCAGGCACUCAAGAAAUAUCUUGUGAAUGAAUGAAUGUGUAAUGUUCUGGGCUUGGGAAGUAGUGCUCAUAAUAUUUACUUGGCUUAAAAUUGUCUUAAAAAAUUGUUAUGUACAAAGAUUAGGUGUUAGAAGCAAAGAAGAAAAGUAUUCCACCAUUUCCCCCAAUUUUAGCAUUCUUCAGACCAGGAUAAAGAACACUUUCACUAAAAAAUCCAUAAAGCAAAUAGAUUCUGAAUACUUGAUCUGGCAAAACUAUCACAAACGUAUUGAAGGCAUUAUAGCCAGAGAAAUAAAAACAUUUACUAGUUAUUUAGUGUUUUGGGUUCAUGGGAGAGUGUGGAUUCUAUUUGCUAAAUAGCUUCAUUUGAUUUUAAAAUGAAACUAUCACAGCAGAGUGGUUUCUACAGCUCUGUUGUUCUUCCCUGUAACUUGUCCUCUUUUGAGUUUCAUAGCCUUUUUGCUGUUGGCAAUGUCAGUGAGGAAUCUAUUGCCCACUCUUCCAGUGGGUCAGGACUAAACCAGGGAGGAAUUAUGUGUAUUAGCAGCUACAGGAGUUUGGUGUUUAAGGUUAUCACUCUAAAGUCAUGAUUCACACACAAAGAAUCAGUUUCAUGUGGUGUUUGGGGCUGUCAGGUGGGCCUGGUUAACCAGCUUCCCGAGGGGUGACUUUUCCCUGUUUGGUCUGAUUUGCAUCAAAGAUAAGAGUCAGGUACCAUCUGGUGUUCAGGCAGUUUCUUCUAGUAGUGCUCUUAUUGUGGCAUGGAUCAGAUGACCCCCUGAAGGGGAGGUUUUCCUCUGGGUACCAUUUUCAGAGUUUGGGGGCCUUUCCCCCUUUUUUAUACCUGUAUUCUGUCUGGGCCGGUUACCAGGUAUUUAUUUCAUAAAGGGAGUUUAAGCUUCUUGCAAGGGUAAGCUUUGCUUUAAGGUUCAUGAAAGUUGCAACUGUACUGAGGUGGUCUUGUCUCAGGGCAACCUGUUGUCAUAGAGACUGGGUAAUCUUUGGGCCAGAGUUGGAACUCCCCAGGCUAGGUUACAUCAUACUGCAAAAUGACACAUAGGAUAGGCCCUGUGAGAUGUAUGAGUGGACCCUAUGGCUAUCGUUAAUCUUUUAACCAUGGUAUGUCUCUUGUAGUAUACUACGUUUUGGAUGAGGAAUCAAACUGUGGACGGCUCAGGCUGGAAAUACUGUGUUGCUUUUAAGGACUGGGUCUUAUAGCAACAUCCAGCAAAGCCAAAGGGCUGUGCAGAAAGGUUUGGUUUGACAGGCGAGUGAACAUAGGCUCCUUUUAGCAGGCUCAACUUGAAGCUGCUAAAGUCUGAUUGAAAGAGAAAAUACCAAAGGGCUAAGGUAGGAGAAUUUUCUCCCCUCAGUGUUUGGGGGAGAAAACUACUAGUGCCCUCCAGCAUAGUGAAUAGUGGAAUUGCUUUUUAAAAAUAGAAUUUGUAGUUAUUAUACAAAAUUUUGAAAAUACAUUGUCAUAGACAGUGCACUGGGAUUCUUCUCCUGGGAAGGAAUGCUUCUACUUAGGUGAGGGAUGUACCUGGGAUUACAGACUGAAGGUACAAAAUAAGAAUAAACCUUUAUCUGGUGGUUUCUUUAUAUCUCCUCCAGUGAAUUCUGACUUUCGAUCAGAAAGAGAGGUUGGAUUUUCUUGCCUUACAGCUUCCGGGGAGACAUGCUGUGGGAGUCUCACUGCUUCGAAAUAAUUCGUGGAUGUUUUGUGAAACCUUUUGACCCGGCUGGGAGCCUGGGGCUUUUGAGCAUUCAAGAAUAAUAGGCAGCAUUGAAAAGGAGUGGAUAGAAUGUUUUAUUAACUGUUGCUAUUUUUAUUAACUGGAGUCAGGGGAAUAUCAGAAAGGAUCAAAAUUUAGGAAUUCUUUGAAAAAGCCUUUAUUUUACAUGAAUUUUAUUUUACAUUGCCCCAGUGCUUUACUCCAUGGUAUAACAGAUGCCCUAACAAAUGAGAGGGCUAAGAUGAGGCUUUGAAAUUUGUAUUUAUUGUUAAAAGUGAGAGGGAUAUGAAGAGGGAGAGAAAGAGGUGAAGAGGUAAUGGUAACUUCUUUGAGAGCUGUUUCUUACCUCCAAAAUAUGUACUAUUCACAGUGAUGUUUAACUAACAUCCAUCUCUCUGUUAGUCAUAUUCACUUUAUAAAUUUUUAUAUAUGCCUUACCUUGCCAGGUAAAUUUUGAAUACCAACUAUGGAUGAAACAUAUGCUAAGAUGUGUAAGGAUUUAGAAAUAAAUUUCACAUAGAGUCUUGGCUCAUAGUCUCUUAGUUGUGCUUAACUGCCAGUUUUAAGUUUACUAUCCUCUCUGCCUUCCAUCUGAAGACUCCAGGCAUAACCUUUAUCCUUAGUAGAUGAAACUGUUAGUAAUUUUUGGUUACAAGUAAUAGAAACUAAUGCUGGCUAAUUUAGGCAAAAGAAAUGUCUGUAGAAAAAUGGGGAGUUUGCUUAUAAGAUUAAAGAACCAGAUUUGAAAAAAACAGGAAACAUGAAGCCUCAGAGGGUGUUAAUAGAAGGAACUAGUCAACUGUCUUGUCAGGCUCAAGAAUUUUCUAGCAAUAAGGAAACUGUAACUAUUUUACUAUUAUUCUUAGGUUCUAAUUCUAAGAAGGGAGGAUCUGAUUGUCCAAGAUGAAUCACAUGUCUGCCAUGUUGCCCAGGGAUGAUGGACCAUCUUGAUUGAUAGACAUAGCAUACUGUGAGGGGAGAAGUAGCUCAUCAAAAAUUGGGAUAUAUUACUAAAUUAAGUUGGAGUAGAUGCUGGGCAAUCAGAAAAUCAAUAAAUAUACUUUACAGAUAGGCCAGACACUCUCUCCCCUAACUCCUGCCUGUGUUAGGUUAUGAUCUGGGUCACAGAAGGUAUAGGAUAUUGGAAAAAGAUGAUGUUAAAUAAAGGGGUGAGGGAGAGCUGUACCUACCUCUUCUCCUUCCCUUCCCUCAUAGGAGGGGCCCAUCCACUCCCAGAGGAGGAAGCAGUGUCUCCGUACCUUGGAAGAAGGCACUCCUGGGCCUAGAACCACAUGGUCUCUGACACUGAAAAUCCCAUUGCAGUCUGAGACACCUGUUUGGAGUGGUGUACAUUGGAGAGGCAAUAAGCCAAGUAUGCUGGGUCUAACACCACAUCAGAGGGAUUCCUGCUAUUCUGAAGUCAGUCAGGGGGCACUUGGAACUGUCCGUGGUGCUGACCAACACCCCAUAAGCCUGCCCUUCUGCAGAAUGUCUGGCCUCACCACUCAGGACCCAGACAAGAUUGUCUUAGUGGUGACAACUACUCAAAUGGCCCGUACCCAGAUAUGUCCUUGAGGUGACUGUCACUUGUGCCUAUAUCACUUGGGUGAGUAUACCACACUGUCCCCCACCACAACGAACCUGACUACCAUGUAGAGAUAAAGACUGAGCCAGAAAGAAAAUUAUAGUUGUUUACAUUGUCUCAGCAUUAAGAAAAACCUACUGAUGUUUUGAUUCUAGGAUUAAAAACCCAAGUUUUCCAGAAUCAGAGCUAAUGCCUGCUUCAUUUCUCUGUGACUGAGUCUGGGCUCUUUUGGGACUGAACAAAAGCUCUCAGAUGGAUAUAAUCUACUUGAUUGGAUCAAUUAGUUCAAUUAUUUCACAUACAUUUAGUGUGUACUUAUAAUGGAUAAGCCCUUAGAAGAGUGCUGCUGGGUUGCAGACUGAGUUAAGGAUUACAGGAAACAGGGAAUAAGGAUGGACAGUCAAGCUGUGGUCAGCUUCUACUGCUGCAAGAAAAAAGCAUGGGCACAAAAUAAGUAAGGAAACAUAUAUGUUUGAUGUAUAGAGAUUAAAUGUCAAGCCAUGUUUUGCUGGGAUGAGCUAUAACCAAGGGGGAAAUUGUGUAAGCACUAUGAAAAUCAGGACUCACCUGUGGGUUUGUGACAUUUCUUAUAUCAGAAGGGGUCUGGCUAGAGAUAGAAUGAGUGGGCUAUUUGUGAGACAGUAUGGCAAAACAACAGUGUUUAUAAAAAUAUGUUUGACUGAAACUCACAAUAAGAGAUACAUACCACUUUGUGGUGCCUGUGCCCUCCACACCUCUCCUCCACAUUUCUGGGACAAAAGUUUUAUAAAGUAAUGCUUAUGUUUUUAAAGUCUUACUUUGAAAGUGAUGUAUGGGCUGGGUGAGGUGGCUAAUGCCCAUAAUGCCAGCAGCUUGGGAGGCCGAGGUGGGUGGGUCACCUGAAGUCAGGAGUUCAAGACCAGCCUGGCCAACAUGGUGAAACCCUGUUUCUACUAAAAAUACAAAAAUUAGGCAUUGGUAGCACACACCUGUAAUCCCAGCUACUUGGGAGGCUGAGGCAGGAGAAUCACUUGAACCUGGGAGGCAGAGGUUGAGUGAGCCGGGAUUGCACCACUGCACUCCAGCUUGGGUGACAGAGCAAGACUCCAUCUCAAAAAAAAAAGGAUGACUUAUGCUUUUUAAAGAUUAUUUAUAUUACUUGAAAAAGUGACACACUCUGAUAUUUUCUAUUCUGUUCAAUUAUAUUCUAUACCUGCCUUUUCAAUUUCCUGAAAAAAGUGCUGAUUGUAACCCAGUAGACUGCAUUCAGGCCUACUAGUGGGUCACAACACAUACUUUGAGAAAUACUCCAUAAUGACUGGAUAAAGCUUCUGAAAUCUGUUAAUCUAGGUUAAAAUCUUGAGUUUCCUAUUUCCAAAUUUUUCUAAAUAACUAGUGUCUAAAUCAUCUUGGGUUGUCUAGAUCGCUUAAACAACAAAUUUAUUUUCUUGCUCUUCUGGGUGCUGCAAGCCUGAGAUCAGGAGGCCAGCUUGGUCAGGUUCUGGUUCGGUGUUCUGCCUGGCUUGCGAUUGGCUGCUUUAUUGCUGUGUUUUCACGUGACCUGUCCUUGGUGUAUGCAAGUGGAGACAGAUAUAUCUCUCUCUUCAUCUCUCAUAAGAUCACCAAACUUAUCAGACCAUUAGGACUCAUUUAACCUUAAUUUCCUCCUAAAAACUCCAUCUCCAAAUACAGUGGCAUUAAGGGUUAAUGCUUCAACAUGUGAAUCUUUGGGUGAUGGAAUUCAGUCCACAGCACUUAGGUAAGUUGACAUCUCUGCAUCUCAGUUUCUUUCUCAGUAAAGUGAAGGUAAUAAUAUACUAUAUAGCUUGUUUAUUCAUUAACAAUAUUUACAUGUGCCAGGUCCUAGACAAAAGAACAAAACAGUGGAGAGAAAUCCUCACCCUAUAGGACACUCAUGAAUAAUAAAUGAAGUAAUGAUUCUAAAGUGCUGAGCAAAAUGUAGUGCUCAGUACACAUUUGUGGUUGUCAGUGUUAAUCGGUAAGACGCACCUGGUGGAAAUGGAGUCCAUCUCCUUGACGUAGAGGAGGUAUCUCCUGUCAUGUUGCAAGUGAAGCAGUGUUGUUAAUGUGGGUUCAAUCAGCCUAUCCACAUGGCUUGGAUGUGCCCUUCUGUGUAUUCCUCACUCCGCCAUCACAGAGUCAAGCCCAACACUGUGGGGAACUCAGCUGUAUCAAGAUAAACGGCUUGAUUUUCCAUAACUGAGAUGGAUAGGAGUCAUAGGGACUCAUAAUCGAGAUGGAUAGUUAGAAUAAAUGCAGCUCUAAUGCAUCACAUCAGUGCUAUAAUAAAGUUAUGAACAACGAGCUGUGGGAGUACAGAAAAGGGUGGUGAGUUCUGCUUGGGGGUGGAAAAGGCUUCUCAGAAAAGUAAGAUUUGAGCUUUUCCUCUCUUAAUUUUCAGGAAGAACUUAAGGGUGGUGUUUUAAGCAGAGGCAAUAGCACAAAAAUGUUUGCACUUACAUGAUUAGGGUAGGAUGAGAAGCCAGGGUGUCUGGAUCAAGGGGAUGCUGGAGGUUGACAGUAAGUGGGCAGGAGCAGGUAUAGCAAAGGGGACUCCCUGAAGUCUGACUUCUAUCUUAGGAGAUACAGAACAAAUAUUGGGGGUUUUAAACAGGGAAGUGUCUAGCAGUUGGGAGGAAUGGUUAAGUAGGUGGGCAUUCCACUAGGAAGCUGUUACAAUUCAGGGGAGACAUGAUGGCGGUUGUGACAGUUGGUAGUGGGGAGAAAUGGACUCCUGUCAGGCACGUGUGAAGUUGAAUUUAUGGGGGUUAGUGGAAGGUAGAGGAGUCAAGAGGACUUUAAGACCUUUCUCUUUUGUCAUUAAGGGCCGUUAUCUGAAUGGCAGACACAUAUUGAAGCGUGAGUUUGGAGAGAAUAGCGAGUUCAUAAUGGGGAUGAUGAAUUUGAGUUUUCUACCUGGUUUGUGUAAACAAGAACUUGGUAGUAAGAGAGAAAUAACUGCAGAUGUAAUUAUAUUAUGACAUAAUAUUCAGCCCCAAUUAGCUGCUGAGAAACCUGUGAACCCAACUUCCAUGAAAAAUCGUAUGUGAGAAAGUUGAAUUUGAAAACUAAUUUGAAUGUCUGGCUGUAACUGAGUUGAAACUCAGUGACAAACUGGGAGGAUAGAGCCUUACGUGUUGCCUGUUUCUGAUGGUGCACACACUGUUUCUUUAUUUAGAACCUCUUACCAGUAUCAAUUAAACCCAGUUAAAUUUGACAUCUCUUAACCUUACAUUGGAUCAAAUUCACUGCUACAGCAGAACCCAUAUGGCGCAGAGACAGUUGUACGCAUCAGUUCAUUGCUUAUGUAGAGUUGCUGGCCCAGUGCCAACCAGUGAUCACUGCUUUUUGUUAAUAGACAUGUUUGCUUUGCAGUCAUUUCUAUACACAGGGCUCUGGAUUAAUUAGAUAGAAAUCUGUCAUCCAUCUAAGAAACCACAAGAACUCACUUUCUGUGCUUCUGAGGGAAAGGGAACAACAGAUUUUGGCAAGUUUUAAAAAAUGUGUUUGCUUGUUUCCAUAAGAACUUAGCAGACUAUUUAAAUAACCAGUGCAUAAAGAAUUUUUGAUAAUUAAUAAGGAGCAUAGAAUGGAUUGAGGAAUAGAUGAGCCCUCAGAGGAAUUAAGGUGGGAUUUUUCUCAUGAUAUGAAUUAGUUAAUUUUUUUAAGCACUUAAAAAAAUAUUUGUUUCUCUGCAAGUCAACAGGUGAAUUUUGUUUGGGCGUAAAGAUUUACAGAAAGAACUCCUCUGCCAUCAGGUCAAAGGUUUGUUCAAGCUGAAAAAAUAGCCACCGGGUUUCUUUGCACACAGGUUCGAGUGGGCAGAGAAAUGACCUUCUAGGCAGUUCUGCAGCAGAGCUCUGCUGUAACUCUGCCUUUGGGGUCUGUGGCACCAAGCUGCCUCAGGGAGAGACCCCUCCACCUUGAACAACUUCCACUACAUCACUAAUGAAACCCCACUGGACAUGACUUAUGCAAAAUCUUUCCCUGAAGUCAAUGUUUCCAGAUCGAGUUUCUCUUGUGGUAAUACAGAUAUUGCUUAUUGUUUCUUAUAUGGAAGUAUCAAAGAUUUAAACAGUACCCCAAAAUUUCCACCCCAUUUUUAUGGGUACUUUAGCCCAGUGCAUGAUACAUAUUUGUUGAAGGAACCGAAGAUGGAGGUAGAAAGCAGAGGAAUUAAACUCAUGUCUGUGUAAUGACGUUUGGUGUUUUUAUAUUCCUGCAUUCAAAAGGCACCAAUCUGCUAUAUGCAUUUGACCUCUUAGUUAAAAAAAAACAACCCAAUGUGUACCACCCAGGGUUAAACAACGUGACUGAUUAGCCUGUUAUUUGAAUCACCCAGGUUGCUGCAAACAUGAACCUUGCAUUUUUGAAAUUCCUAUUUCUUUUUUAAAUGUUUUAUUUUAUUUUUAGUUGACAAAUAGUAAUUGUUUAUAUUUAAUGGUUACAGUGUGAUAUUUUGAUAUAUGUAUGCAUUGUGCGGUAAUCAAGUCAGGUUAAUUAACGUAUUUCUCACCUCAAGUAUUUAUCAU